UACUCUUUCCGGAGAACCGAAUCGUGAGA
rnacentral:sRNA from 1 species